AUUAAAUGAGAGUUUGAUCCUGGCUCAGGACGAACGCUGGCGGCGUGCCUAACACAUGCAAGUCGAGCGAAGUAUAUUUAAGUGAAGUUUUCGGACGGAACUUAAAUAUAUCUUAGCGGCGGACGGGUGAGUAACGCGUGAGCAACCUGCCUUUCACAAAGGGAUAGCCUCGGGAAACUGGGAUUAAUACCAUAUGAUACUUAACUUUCGCAUGAAAGAUAAGUUAAAGCGAAAAAGCGGUGAAAGAUGGGCUCGCGUCCUAUUAGCUAGUUGGUGAGGUAAGGGCUCACCAAGGCGACGAUAGGUAGCCGCCCUGAGAGGGUGAACGGCCACACUGGAACUGAGACACGGUCCAGACUCCUACGGGAGGCAGCAGUGGGGAA
rnacentral:rRNA from 1 species